AAUCAACGCUGGCGGCGUGCCUAACACAUGCAAGUCGCGCGCGAAAGGGGGGCAACUCCCAAGUAGAGCGGCGAACGGGUGAGUAACACGUGGGUAAUCUACCUUCGAGUGGGGAACAACACCGGGAAACUGGUGCUAAUUCCGCAUAACAUCGUCGGGGCUUCGGUUCUGACGCUCAAAGCUGGGGAUCGCAAGACCUAGCGCUUGAAGAUGAGCCCGCGUCCGAUUAGCUAGUUGGCGGGGUAAUGGCCCACCAAGGCUUCGAUCGGUAGCCGGCCUGAGAGGGCGGACGGCCACACUGGAACUGAGACACGGUCCAGACUCCUACGGGAGGCAGCAGUGGGGAAUUUUUCGCAAUGGGGGCAACCCUGACGAAGCAACGCCGCGUGGGGAUGACGGCCU
rnacentral:rRNA from 1 species